GUCACGCUUCAGCGGCACAUAUACCAAAACUGGAACAAUACAGAGAUUAGCCCAGCCCCUGAGCAAAGAUGACCUGCAAAUUUGAAAAUCGUUUCAUAUUCUU
ensembl:snRNA U6 U6 spliceosomal RNA